UCUCUGUGUUCACCAUCCGCAGAAAUUGCUCCAGGAUCAUCAUUUCAGAUAUUUCCUUUACUGACUUCUGCUCAGGCCUGACCCAUUUUGAGAAUAAUUCCUUUAGGCGAACAUACAAUUCACGUGGUGUCUCCCCAGGAUAAACCUCUAGUGCACGAAAUCUCUGGCGGUAAAUGUCCUGUGUUAUUUCAUACUUAGCAAGAAUAGCAGCUUUGACUUCCUCGUAGUCCUCAGCAUGCUCACUGUCCAUGGCUACAUAUGCACUUCGGGCUUUUCCGGUAAGCAGCGGAACUAGCCGAAUUGCCCAAUCCUCUUUGUGCCAGCGGCAGACCUUUGCAAUACGCUCAAAGGUUGCCAGGAAGUGCUCUAUGUUGUCCUCUGGAGUCAGGGGAUACAGUUUGGGCUCCCUAAAGCCCGGUGGUACUCUCUGCUCCUGCUCUUCUCCUGUUUGGCCACUGGCUCCUUCGUUGGCAUCCUCCUCAGGCUGUCCUCGCUGGUCCACCUGCUGUUGCAGUUGUCGGAAUUGGUGCUGUAGGCUCUUCCAUCGCUGCUCCUGUCGGAUGGCUUCUCGCUCCGCCCGCUCAUCCCUUGCAGCUUGGCUCUCCAUGAACCCUUGAAGCAUCUCAGCUAGCUCUUGCAGUGAUGUGUCUGAUGCAUUGGCUGUUGCUUUUCUCUGCUUUACUUCACUGGGACUGGAAUCUUUGCCUGAGCUGUCCGCCAUACCUCGACUUCUCAGGAUCAUACCACAACACCUUUAAGUGGCAAAAUCUCACGAGAAACAGUUCCUGAUACUCUGAGAAAUGCCUGAAAAUGUUAUGCCCCCUGGAAAAACUGUAGUACUUCUGACACCACUUGUGAUGGUCCGACGGAAAAGACACGUGGGUACAUUCCAGUUUGGGGUUCAAAAAUCGGUGUUUAUUAAAUCCCAGUGAAAAACCAAACAAAAACAAAAAAAAUGCAAUUUAUCCAACGCCAAAAAGAAAAAUAUUUACAAAUAUAUACAGCUUAAUUUGAAUAAUCAGUUAUUCAAUCACAACUUGAGAGGGUUUUAGGCUUCAACCACAUUCCAUUACCUCUCUCACAAGACUGGCUCAUUCUGGUCCAUCUAGGGCUUUUAUAGAGCUAAACAGGAAGUGCUAUGACGUCACUUCCGGUUUUUGCGCGGGAAAGUUCACUAUAAAAACGCAGCAAACAAAGGGUCCUGUUUUCCUCCCUGACUGAAAACACGGCUACCUUCCUCUGGAGUCUAUUCACAGGUUUACUCUUGUUCCCCAGCAUAACCACUCAAUCAAUAAAUGCUAUUUA